rnacentral:rRNA from 1 species
UACGUAGGGGGCAAGCGUUGUCCGGAAUCAUUGGGCGUAAAGCGCGUGUAGGCGGUUCGGUAAGUCUGCUGUGAAAGUCCGGGGCUCAACUCCGGAUCUGCGGUGGGUACGGGCAGACUAGAGUGAUGUAGGGGAGACUGGAAUUCCUGGUGUAGCGGUGAAAUGCGCAGAUAUCAGGAGGAACACCGAUGGCGAAGGCAGGUCUCUGGGCAUUAACUGACGCUGAGGAGCGAAAGCAUGGGGAGCAAACAGG